GGUGAGGGUAAAAAGUCGAGGGUGAGGGUAAAAAGUCGAGGGUGAGGGUAAAAAGUCGAGGGUGAGGGUAAAAAGUCGAGGGUGAGGGUAAAAAGUCGAGGGUGAGGAUAAAAAGUCGUGGGUCAUAAAAAAGUUGAGGGUUGUAUUUUUACGACAGCUAAGACAACUACUAACGAUAAAAGAGUUUUUAAUACGGUGUUUCUCCUUAUGUAAAUCAUGAAUUAAGGGAGAAUUCUGGUCUAGAAACUAACUCAUUAAGUUGAUGGUUUGGGUCGUCUGGUUAAAAGGUUUCACGCACGCAGCAUGUCUUCUAGCGUGUAAUGUCUCCAGGCCACUUUUGAUUAAGGCAUUUUUAGAUAAAAAGGCGGAAUUUUUUCAUUAAAAGCAAA